rnacentral:rRNA from 1 species
UCGACCUGAGCUCAGGCAAGAUUACCCGCUGAAYUUAAGCAUAU